rnacentral:rRNA from 2 species
AAAUUGAAGAGUUUGAUCAUGGCUCAGAUUGAACGCUGGCGGCAGGCCUAACACAUGCAAGUCGAGCGGUAGCACAGAGAGCUUGCUCUCGGGUGACGAGCGGCGGACGGGUGAGUAAUGUCUGGGAAACUGCCUGAUGGAGGGGGAUAACUACUGGAAACGGUAGCUAAUACCGCAUAACGUCGCAAGACCAAAGUGGGGGACCUUCGGGCCUCAUGCCAUCAGAUGUGCCCAGAUGGGAUUAGCUAGUAGGUGGGGUAACGGCUCACCUAGGCGACGAUCCCUAGCUGGUCUGAGAGGAUGACCAGCCACACUGGAACUGAGACACGGUCCAGACUCCUACGGGAGGCAGCAGUGGGGAAUAUUGCACAAUGGGCGCAAGCCUGAUGCAGCCAUGCCGCGUGUGUGAAGAAGGCCUUCGGGUUGUAAAGCACUUUCAGCGGGGAGGAAGGCGUUAAGGUUAAUAACCUUGGCGAUUGACGUUACCCGCAGAAGAAGCACCGGCUAACUCCGUGCCAGCAGCCGCGGUAAUACGGAGGGUGCAAGCGUUAAUCGGAAUUACUGGGCGUAAAGCGCACGCAGGCGGUCUGUCAAGUCGGAUGUGAAAUCCCCGGGCUCAACCUGGGAACUGCAUUCGAAACUGGCAGGCUAGAGUCUUGUAGAGGGGGGUAGAAUUCCAGGUGUAGCGGUGAAAUGCGUAGAGAUCUGGAGGAAUACCGGUGGCGAAGGCGGCCCCCUGGACAAAGACUGACGCUCAGGUGCGAAAGCGUGGGGAGCAAACAGGAUUAGAUACCCUGGUAGUCCACGCCGUAAACGAUGUCGAUUUGGAGGUUGUGCCCUUGAGGCGUGGCUUCCGGAGCUAACGCGUUAAAUCGACCGCCUGGGGAGUACGGCCGCAAGGUUAAAACUCAAAUGAAUUGACGGGGGCCCGCACAAGCGGUGGAGCAUGUGGUUUAAUUCGAUGCAACGCGAAGAACCUUACCUGGUCUUGACAUCCACAGAACUUAGCAGAGAUGCUUUGGUGCCUUCGGGAACUGUGAGACAGGUGCUGCAUGGCUGUCGUCAGCUCGUGUUGUGAAAUGUUGGGUUAAGUCCCGCAACGAGCGCAACCCUUAUCCUUUGUUGCCAGCGGUCCGGCCGGGAACUCAAAGGAGACUGCCAGUGAUAAACUGGAGGAAGGUGGGGAUGACGUCAAGUCAUCAUGGCCCUUACGACCAGGGCUACACACGUGCUACAAUGGCAUAUACAAAGAGAAGCGACCUCGCGAGAGCAAGCGGACCUCAUAAAGUAUGUCGUAGUCCGGAUUGGAGUCUGCAACUCGACUCCAUGAAGUCGGAAUCGCUAGUAAUCGUAGAUCAGAAUGCUACGGUGAAUACGUUCCCGGGCCUUGUACACACCGCCCGUCACACCAUGGGAGUGGGUUGCAAAAGAAGUAGGUAGCUUAACCUUCGGGAGGGCGCUUACCACUUUGUGAUUCAUGACUGGGGUGAAGUCGUAACAAGGUAACCGUAGGGGAACCUGCGGUUGGAUCACCUCCUUACCUUAAAGAA